rnacentral:rRNA from 1 species
UACGUAGGGGGCUAGCGUUGUCCGGAAUCAUUGGGCGUAAAGAGCGUGUAGGCGGUCCGGUAAGUCCGCUGUGAAAGUCGGGGGCUCAACCCUCGAAUGCCGGUGGAUACUGUCGGGCUAGAGUGCGGAAGAGGCGAGUGGAAUUCCUGGUGUAGCGGUGAAAUGCGCAGAUAUCAGGAGGAACACCGGUGGCGAAGGCGGGUCUCUGGGCCGACACUGACGCUGGAGACGCGAAGGCGUGGGGAGCGAACGGG